CAAGUACUCCCUCCGUCCGGAAUUACUUGUCAUCAAAAUGGAUGUGUCUAGAACUAAAAUACAUCUAGAUACAUCCAUUUCAAUGACAGGUAUUUUCGGACGGAGGGAGUACAAG
rnacentral:pre_miRNA from 1 species